rnacentral:rRNA from 1 species
AGUGGCGGACGGGUGAGUAACGCGUAAGAAUCUAACUUCAGGACGGGGACAACAGUGGGAAACGACUGCUAAUACCCGAUGUGCCGCGAGGUGAAACCUAAUUGGCCUGAAGAAGAGCUUGCGUCUGAUUAGCUAGUUGGUGGGGUAAGAGCCUACCAAGGCGACGAUCAGUAGCUGGUCUGAGAGGAUGAGCAGCCACACUGGGACUGAGACACGGCCCAGACUCCUACGGGAGGCAGCAGUGGGGAAUUUUCCGCAAUGGGCGAAAGCCUGACGGAGCGACGCCGCGUGAGGGAGGAAGGUCUUUGGAUUGUAAACCUCUUUUCUCAAGGAAGAAGUUCUGACGGUACUUGAGGAAUCAGCCUCGGCUAACUCCGUGCCAGCAGCCGCGGUAAUACGGGGGAGGCAAGCGUUAUCCGGAAUUAUUGGGCGUAAAGCGUCCGCAGGUGGUCAGCCAAGUCUGCCGUCAAAUCAGGUUGCUUAACGACCUAAAGGCGGUGGAAACUGGCAGACUAGAGAGCAGUAGGGGUAGCAGGAAUUCCCAGUGUAGCGGUGAAAUGCGUAGAGAUUGGGAAGAACAUCGGUGGCGAAAGCGUGCUACUGGGCUGUAUCUGACACUCAGGGACGAAAGCUAGGGGAGCGAAAGGGAUUAGAUACCCCUGUAGUCCUAGCCGUAAACGAUGGAUACUAGGCGUGGCUU